UGUUUACAGUCCUGCUCACAGCUCUCUCUUUUUUCCUUCCACUUUCUCCACUACGUAGACACAUCUUCUAAGUGGAGGAGUGGAGAAAGAAUAAAACUGAAAAGGCAAAACAGGAGGGUGAUCUCCGGGAACAUUCCAGAACCUCACUGCCUUUGCUGUUCUCUGCACGCUGGCCACCGCACCCACCGAGAGCAGAGGCCCGGAGGCUGGGCACCAGACUAGACCGUUAGAAUCGGCAGGACCGUGGUUACAAAAUGAAUAGCAUCUCAGGAGGCCAGUGUCUCAUUCCAGGGAUCCCACGUGUCCCUCCUGCCCCAGAUGGAGAAAGCAGGGCCUCAGCAUGCAGAGGACAGAGUAAAGUGAGGAGGUUUGCUGACCUUCAGCAGAAAGACCAGGAUGACCUUGGUUCCGGCUACAGCACCUUCAGAAAAGCUUCCAGAUACACCUUGUUAUGGCUCAGCUCACACCUUAUCUCCUCCACCUGCUUUUGCUCCUAACUGUUUGUCUGCAGAAGUGGUUUGAUCCACAGGCAACCACCCUAUCAACACCACGGUGAUGGCACCACCAGCUGCCCUCAGAA